rnacentral:rRNA from 1 species
UACGGGGGGGGCAAGCGUUGUUCGGAAUUACUGGGCGUAAAGGGCUCGUAGGUGGCCAACUAAGUCAUACGUGAAAUCCCUCGGCUUAACCGGGGAACUGCGUCUGAUACUGGAUGGCUUGAGGUUGGGAGAGGGAUGCGGAAUUCCAGGUGUAGCGGUGAAAUGCGUAGAUAUCUGGAGGAACACCGGUGGCGAAGGCGGCGACCUGGUUCAAUACUGACGCUGAGGUGCGAAAGCGUGGGGAGCAAACAGG